GCGUGAAGCUGGAAUCGCUAGUAAUCGCGGAUCAGCAUGCCGCGGUGAAUACGUUCCCGGGCCUUGUACACACCGCCCGUCACACCACGAGAGUUUGUAACACCCGAAGUCGGUGAGGUAACCUUUUAGGAGCCAGCCGCCGAAGGUGGGACAGAUGAUUGGGGUGAAGUCGUAACAAGGUAGCCGUAUCGGAAGGUGCGGCUGGAUCACCUCCUUU
rnacentral:rRNA from 2 species